GACGAACGCUGGCGGCGUGCUUAACACAUGCAAGUCGAACGAAGAGCGAUGGAAGCUUGCUUCUAUCAAUCUUAGUGGCGAACGGGUGAGUAACGCGUAAUCAACCUGCCCUUCAGAGGGGGACAACAGUUGGAAACGACUGCUAAUACCGCAUACGAUCUAAUCUCGGCAUCGAGGAUAGAUGAAAGGUGGCCUCUACAUGUAAGCUAUCACUGAAGGAGGGGAUUGCGUCUGAUUAGCUAGUUGGAGGGGUAACGGCCCACCAAGGCGAUGAUCCGUAGCCGGUCUGAGAGGAUGCACGGCCGCAUUGGGACUGAGACACGGCCCAGACUCCUCCGGGAGGCAGCAGUGGGGAAUCUUCCGCAAUGGACGAAAGUCUGACGGAGCAACGCCGCGUGAGUGAUGACGGCCUUCGGGUUGUAAAGCUCUGUUAAUCGGGACGAAAGGCCUUCUUGCGAAUAGUGAGAAGGAUUGACGGUACCGGAAGAGAAAGCCACGGCUAACUACGUG
rnacentral:rRNA from 1 species